rnacentral:rRNA from 1 species
GUCUACAGCCAUGCUACCCUGAAUGUGCUCAAUCUCAUCUGAUCUUGGAAGCUAAACAGGGUCGGGCCUGGUUAGUACUUGGAUGGGAGACUACCUAGGAAUACCAGGUGCUGUAGGCG